rnacentral:snoRNA from 1 species
ACGGUAUGCUGGGGACAUUUUCUAAUGAGAUCUUUUAAUCUUUCCCAUGUCUCAUGGAACUGCUCACUAUCAUGCUGUGAGAAACUAGUGAGAGCUCACCUU